rnacentral:piRNA from 1 species
UGGACAUGGCAUGUGAGGUGGACCUC